GUAAAUAAACAAUAAAAAUGUACUUACCAAGAUGUCUUAAUUAGUUUAAGCACUAUUGCUCAAUCACAGUAAUAUACUGAGCACAGUCAUUCUAUUUUAUAGAGGGGAAAUUAGGGUUAAGAAAGGCUACCACAAGGAGGUGUUGUUUUGUAGCUUGAAUAUGAAAACCAGUCAGAACAAGUCAAAGAACGGCAACACCCAUCCUGCUGUACUCCUUUACCCAACGCCACAUACAUUGUUCAGUGUGUUUGUUUGCUGUAGAGAGGUGUGUCAAUAGCACAGAAUACAUUUGUAGAAUUUUGCCUUUAUGUGUUCUGCUGCCACACCUUCUGACUCUGAGACCAUUCUCCCUACCUCAUUGGAGCUCAGUGGAGAGGGGAAACCUGGAGAGAGAGAGAGAGAGAGGGGAAAGAAACCUUUUACACAUUACAUUCACACAGAAACAGUUCUGCUGCCACACCUUCUGACUCUGAGACCAUUCUCCCUAC